GACUCACUAGCUCAGCGGUAGAGCAUUUGACUUUUAAUCAAAGGGUCCCGAGUUCGAUCCUCGGGUGGGUCACCA
rnacentral:tRNA from 11 species